CAAGUCGAGCGAGAACCGGAGCUUCGGCUCCGGGGACAGCGGCGAACGGGUGAGUAACACGUGGAUAACCUGCCCUCGGCACCGGAAUAGCCCGGGGAAACCCGGAUUAAUGCCGGAUUGCCCCACAUCCCUGCGGGGAACGUGGGAAAAGGUAGCUUCGGCCUCUGGCCGAGGAUGGGUCCGCGGUGGAUUAGCUUGUUGGUGGGGUAAUGGCCCACCAAGGCGACGAUCCAUAGCUGGUCUGAGAGGACGAUCAGCCACACUGGGACUGAGACACGGCCCAGACUCCUACGGGAGGCAGCAGUGGGGAAUCUUGCGCAAUGGGCGAAAGCCUGACGCAGCGACGCCGCGUGCGGGAAGAAGGCCUUAGGGUUGUAAACCGCUUUCAGGAGGGACGAAGCCACUCGGGUUAAUAGCCCAGAGGGUGACGGUACCUCCAGAAGAAGCCCCGGCUAACUACGUGCCAGCAGCCGCGGUAAUACGUAGGGGGCAAGCGUUGUCCGGAUUCAUUGGGCGUAAAGAGCGUGUAGGCGGCCAGGUAGGUCGGUUGUGAAAACUGGAGGCUCAACCUUCAGAGGUCGACCGAAACCAUCUGGCUAGAGUCCGGGAGAGGAGAGUGGAAUUCCUGGUGUAGCGGUGAAAUGCGCAGAUAUCAGGAAGAACACCCGUGGCGAAAGCGGCUCUCUGGAACGGUACUGACGCUGAGACGCGAAAGCGUGGGGAGCGAACAGGAUUAGAUACCCUGGUAGUCCACGCCGUAAACGAUGGGCGCUAGGUGUGGGAGGUGUCGACUCCUUCCGUGCCGCAGCUAACGCAUUAAGCGCCCCGCCUGGGGAGUACGGCCGCAAGGCUAAAACUCAAAGGAAUUGA
rnacentral:rRNA from 1 species